rnacentral:rRNA from 1 species
UGAGGAAUUUUGCGCAAUGGGAGCAAUCCUGACGCAGCAACGCCGCGUGGGUGAUGAAGGCCUUCGGGUCGUAAAGCCCUGUCAGGUGGGAAGAAUGUCCCGGGACUGAACAGGUUUUGGGAGUGACGGUACCACCAGAGGAAGCACCGGCUAACUCCGUGCCAGCAGCCGCGGUAAUACGGUGGGUGCAAGCGUUAUUCGGAAUUACUGGGCGUAAAGCGCGGGUAGGCGGGCCUGCAAGUCGGAUGUGAAAGCCCCGGGCUUAACCCGGGAAGUGCAUUGGAAACUGUGGGACUUGAGGACUGGAGAGGAUGGGGGAAUUCCCGGUGUAGAGGUGAAAUUCGUAGAGAUCGGGAGGAACACCAGCGGCGCAGGCGGCUCACUAGACAGUUUCUGACGCUAAGAUACGAAAGCGUGGGGAGCAAACA